rnacentral:rRNA from 1 species
GACGAACGCUGGCGGCGUGCCUAAUACAUGCAAGUCGAGCGGGCCUCCGGAGGUGCUUGCACCUCCGGAAGGCCAGCGGCGGACGGGUGAGUAACACGUGGGCAACCUGCCUUUGAGGCCGGGAUAACACCGGGAAACCGGUGCUAAUACCGGAUACGUCCUCUUUCGCGCCUGCGAGAGGGGAGAAAGACGGUCUUUAAGGCCGUCGCUCAAAGAGGGGCCCGCGGCGCAUUAGCUGGUUGGGGGGGUAAGGGCCUACCAAGGCGACGAUGCGUUGCCGGCCUGAGAGGGUGAACGGCCACACUGGGACUGAGACACGGCCCAGACUCCUGCGGGAGGCAGCAGUAGGGAAUCAUCCGCAAUGGGCGAAAGCCUGACGGUGCAACGCCGCGUGAGUGAGGAAGGUUUUCGGAUCGUAAAGCUCUGUUGUGAGGGAAGAACAGCUUCCGGAGGAAAUGCCGGAGGUUUGCCGGUACCUCACCAGAAAGCCCCGGCUAACUACGUGCCAGCCGCCGCUGUAA